UUAUUCCUCAAACCUGUAGGAUGCCGAGCUAAAAGAAAAUCAAAUUUCAAUGGCUUCUUUUCUUUGAAGGACCAAGAUGUUCUUUCACACUUAGAAUCCGGAUUAGAGGAUAAAUCCAUCAAGUCAAUGGAAACAACUUAAGAAAUGGACAGAGGGAUAUUUCAUUCAUAUAUACACAGUUUGCACUGUGGCAAAAAUAGAGUCAAAGACCAAGGGAAGAGGUCAUCAAGAGGUCAAGUCUAAUCUACCUAUGGAUGUGGCAGCCUUAACUAUGGAUGUUCAAACCAGACAUUGCCAGCAGAACCACAUCUCUUCACCCAUAGCACGGACUGUAGGAGAAAGCCCAGAGGAGCAAUGAAGACAAAGAAGACAUAACACCUGCAAAAAGUCAGUGGAGUAUUUCUCCAUAACAAACCUUCCAGGUGAGUGACGGUCAGUAUCUUCCACUGCUCCAGCUCUCACAAUAAACCUAGAACCUGCCCUGGGUAAGCUGGAGGACCAUGCCUGACUAGUCCACUCCCUGCAUGGGGCCGGUUUGUGCAGGGUGACUGUCAUCAAGCAGACAAUGGACUCAGG